CGGCAGGGGCUGGACUCGGUGAUCUCCAGAGCUCCCUGCCGCCCCCAGCACUCUUGGAUUCUGCCGUCGUAAGGCAGCGCCCCGGAACCGAGGCCGCUGCAGCCAUCCCGCGCACUCGGUCGCCUCGGCCCCGGCUGGCGACCCCUAAGCACCCCCUGCCGGCACGGAAGGGCAGCAGCCGCGAAGGCGGCGCGGGCGGACAGCGGCCCCCACAGGCCAGCGGGAGGUGACGGCAGCCCUGGCCGGCUUUAACCGGGAACGGCUGGGUAGGUAGCGGCCCGUGGCGGCAGCUCUGGCCGGCUUUAACCGGGUGCGGCUGGGCAGGCAGAAGCCCCCACGGUGGCCGUAGCCCUGGCCGGCUUUAACCGGGAGCGGCUGGGCGUUGCGGCGGUGAAAGCGCUACCAGUGCGGAGAUCAACCGGCGAGUGCCCGGGGCCCAGCGCCCCUCCCCGCUGCCUGCCGCUCGUCUCUCGGCGGCUUGCUCCCACCUGCGCCGGGCCGAUCAGUGGCCAUCAGUUUGUUACUAGGAGAGAAAGCACAGCACCGCACACAAGCUUCGUGACCUUUCAGCUCAUGAAGAACAGAAGAACUUUCAAAGCUCCAGAUCUAAAUGGAAAACAUUACAGAAGAGAGAAAAAGAACAAAUAGACUCUUCACUGAAAACUGACAACGAAAGAACAAGGAGCAGAGGUGCUCAGAUGACAAUCCUGGCAGUGUCCACUAGAGGGAGCUACGGACCCAGAAGAAAAGCUGGACCUGAAAGAAGACUCAAACUGGCAGACUUUCUAGAGAUAAAAGAUGUUAUGGUACCUGCUGCUACAGGUUCAACUGCUGAAAAGCAGAAACAGCUUUUUCAGUGCUUCCUCCUGCUGAGAUCUGUAAGUAACAUUCACCUGCACUAAGAUGACAAGAAAGGCAGCUUACCUGCAAAUGCUUCUGGUUGUAGAUUGCUAAAAUCAUCACUUCUUCAUUGUGAAAUACAACAUCCAGCUCACUUUUCAGCACAGCAUCAGAGGACUUGCACACCUUCUUUGUUUCCCAGAUCUGUCGAAGAAGAGCAUUGUAUUUAUUAACAGGCUUAUUAUUAAUUAACACAUUACUCAUGUUUUAUUAAAGGACACAAUAUAAAGCUUCUUAAGAGAGCAAGGCCCUGUAAACUUGCAAGUAACACUGAUUAAAAACAAAAUCAAACUAACAAA